rnacentral:rRNA from 1 species
AGUGAACGCUGGCGGUAGGCCUAACACAUGCAAGUCGAACGGCAGCACAGUAAGAGCUUGCUCUUACGGGUGGCGAGUGGCGGACGGGUGAGGAAUGCAUCGGCAUCUACUUUUUCGUGGGGGAUUACGUAGGGCCACUUAUGCUAAUACCGCAUACGACCUACGGGUGAAAGCAGGGGAUCUUCGGACCUUGCGCGACUGAAUGAGCCGAUGUCGGAUUAGCUAGUUGGCGGGGUAAAGGCCCACCAAGGCGACGAUACGUAGCUGGUCUGAGAGGAUGAUCGGCCACACUGGAACUGAGACACGGUCCAGACUCCUACGGGAGGCAGCAGUGGGGAAUAUUGGACAAUGGGCGCAAGCCUGAUCCAGCCAUACCGCGUGAGUGAAGAAGGCCUUCGGGUUGUAAAGCCCUGUUAUUGGGAAAGAAAAGCAGCAGGUUAAACCCCCGCUGUUCUGACGGUACCCAAAGAAUAAGCACCGGCUAACUUCGUG